GAUGGACGCUGGCGGCGUGCCUAAUACAUGCAAGUCGAGCGAACAGACGAGGAGCUUGCUCCUCUGACGUUAGCGGCGGACGGGUGAGUAACACGUGGAUAACCUACCUAUAAGACUGGGAUAACUUCGGGAAACCGGAGCUAAUACCGGAUAAUAUAUUGAACCGCAUGGUUCAAUAGUGAAAGACGGUUUUGCUGGCACUUAUAGAUGGAUCCGCGCCGCAUUAGCUAGUUGGUAAGGUAACGGCUUACCAAGGCAACGAUGCGUAGCCGACCUGAGAGGGUGAUCGGCCACACUGGAACUGAGACACGGUCCAGACUCCUACGGGAGGCAGCAGUAGGGAAUCUUCCGCAAUGGGCGAAAGCCUGACGGAGCAACGCCGCGUGAGUGAUGAAGGUCUUCGGAUCGUAAAACUCUGUUAUUAGGGAAGAACAAAUGUGUAAGUAACUAUGCACGUCUUGACGGUACCUAAUCAGAAAGCCACGGCUAACUACGUG
rnacentral:rRNA from 1 species